GCACUGCUGAAGAGUUCCAAACUAAGACGAAACGGCCGUCCAAUGC
rnacentral:hammerhead_ribozyme from 1 species